rnacentral:ncRNA from 2 species
AUGAAGGAUGCGAGAGAGAUCCCGCCGUGGCGGGACGCCGAAGGGGCAACGCGCCCACGUGACGCUGAAACUCUCAGGCAAAGAGAAUCGCAUCCGGACG